ACCUUCGGCCAAAACAGCCCAUUAGCGGCAAAUAAAGCCCAAAGGCAAACCCGACCCGAAGCAACAGAACCAGCCCAGAGUUAAGCCCAACCCAAAGCAAAAAAGGACUUCAGGUAGCAGUUGAAACCAUUACAUGAAGAUCUUAAACACAGAUCCGGUGAGCAAACCCUACAACGAUGGAGAGAUAAUCUCCAUGAAUUUCAGUUCGGUGGCCUCAGAGGAGGCCUGCAACAAGAUGGAGAAAGAUUCUAGCUGCUCAGAAUCGAUCUAGAAGCCACGUAAUCCCUAAGACAACCCAGACGGAGGAUUGAGGUGAUUGAAUUGCAGACUUUAGCGAGAACCCUGCUCUGCGAAGCUGGAUUCCCUCUGAAGAUGCGAUUGUUCCUCUCUUCCCAGGUGUGAUAAAUUAAUUCUGAAAAACAGACUUUCCUUAGAGUGUUGAUUAGUGAGCUUGAUUUCCAUCGAACACUAGUCCAUAGAAUCAAUUCUUCCCAACUGUGAAAAGCUUUAUAGAACCUUCAUCUGUCUGAGAUGAAUUUCCAAAGAGGGGAAGAGAAGGUGCAGUUUGAGAAUAGAUGAGAAUGGGACACCGUUUCAGUAUUGCAAAGGGCACAAAUGUUAUCAUGGUGAGCCAUGGAUCUGCAAUCAAGUGUUGGAAGCCUGCCCUAAACAGAAUUUCAUUCUCGGGAUGGAAAGUGUUUGCCAUACAAGGUUGUGCCAAGGAACUGUAGGACCAUGAUGUGAUAGGUGGAAAGUUGUGUGCUUCAAGCUGAAUGAACUAGAAGGGGAACAGACCAAAUCAAUUUGUCCUUCUUGAAAGGAGAAGGUUGUUGUAAAGAGAGGAGUUCAGGAUUGCAGAGGAUAAUUGAGUUGGAAAGCUCCAAGAAUUGUUGACAAUAAAGUGAGCAACUUUUGUGUCUUCAUGUAUACCCAAAAAGGAGAGGAUGGAUGGUGGAAAUCGAUGGCAUAGAGACCCUCCAGAGGACCAAUUAUCCAACCAAAAUGAGGUAUCAUUCCCAUCACCAACAAUAUGCUUGAUAAAAUGCCUUGCAUGAUGUCUGAGUUGCAGAAUUUUCCUCCAACUCCAAGAGCAGGAGUGAGGGACUUUCAAUGACCAGAAAUUCCUGUGUGAAGUUCCCAAAUAUAUCUCAGGAUAGCUGCAUGGUUAGAUAAUUCUAGGUUGGGCAGACCCAAACCCCCUUCAACCUCAGGUUUGCACACUGCUUCCCAAUUUACCUUUCCUCCAUUAGAUUUCAUCUCUGGGCCAUACCAUAAGAAAGAUCUGAGAAUCCUAUUGAGUUCAUUGAUAACACUCUUUGGAAGAAUCAAGAUACUGAACCAAUAGAACUGUGUGGAUACAAGGACAGAUCUAACAAGCUGCAAUCUACCUGCAUAAGAGAGAGAUCUUGCAGUCUAAUGAGAAAUUUUGUGAGUAAUCUUCUCUACCGUCAUUGGCUUUAAGGUUUGUAGUUAUUAAUGGAGCUCCCAAGAGCCUGAUGGGAAGAGAACCCUUGUGAAUGCCAAGCAAAUUGGUGAUGGCAUCUUCAAUGUGUGGUGGAACACCAGAGAGGAAGAUUGAGCUUUUAGACAGAUUAAUUGUGAAAUCAGGCAUUGAGCAAAAAUAGUCCAAGGUAGACUUGAUAAUGGAGAUGGAUUCUAUAUUACCAAAGCAAAGCAAUAGGAGACUAUCUGCAAAAGAAAGGUUUACUCGGUGGGAAGAGAAAAAUGUCAUUUGGAUUGAGUAGAUUUGGAAAAAAUAGGAACAUAACUAGAGCUCGUGCAACAAUGAACCAUGGAAAAACGUAAUAUAAAACAUCCUACGUUGUGAAACUAUAUUCCACUUGAUCCUAUCUUGUGAAACAACAACUCGAUAGUAGGAUAUAAAUUAAAGAUCAUACCUUCAAAAAACAAUUCGACAACCACCAUCAAAGAAUGGAUAUAAAAGAUACUACCUUGUGAAACUAUAUCCACUUGAUCCUAUCCUGUGAAACAAUACAACUCGAUAGUGAGAUAUAAAAGAUCCUACCUUGAAACAACAAUUCAAAAACCAAGAGUGGAUAUAAAAAAUCCUACCUGAAACAACUAUUGAAGAGUGGAAUAUAUAUAAAUGAUAACAACCACUUGGUAUCCCUGAAAUGGUUUGUAUAAUGACAAAACUAUUGUGAAUACAACCUCUUCAAGAGAGAGAAGGGGUGAUAAGGGUGAUAUAUUCACGAAAUCCAAGGGAUAUCGUAGAGAUGAAGAGAAUAAAACCUUAACAGAGCCUUUGAAGAGGAUUGAUUUUUUCUAUGACGUUGUACAGAACAUGCUUAGACUUAAAAGAUCACGAGUGCGGUGAUUUGGAGUUAGGUGAAUUGGAGUUACCGUGCCGGAUCACAAGUUCAUGAAGUGAUUUUUGUGAGAAUUCAGAAAAUUGAGUGAAUAUGUUGGGUUGGAUAUGAAGGUGAUUCCUUGGUGGCUGCACAGACUGUUUGAACAUUAUCAUAGAUAAUGUUCGACAGGGAAAAUAGUAUUUGGAGGAUAAAUCACAACUGCAAGAAGGCAGAUGAUGAUGUUGCAAUUGAUAACCUACCCUCAAGUUCACAAUUAGCUUUGUUAGCCCAAGUCCAUGUUGAUUCUCAACUUUAGUUCACAAUCUAUUUCGAUGUGCAUUGAUAAAGUUCUUGAGUUUCUUAUUAUGGGUAUAAAGAUCUCGUGUAAUUGUCAUUCUGAUGCAUAAAGAUUUUCUCUAUAUUUUUGAAUUGUGGGACAAUUGGGAGAAAAUGUCGGUUGCAGGCUUUCAUGUUUUUUAGGUUUGAUUUGGCUAAUUGGAUAGUUUCUCUAAAAUAACAGAAUUGGGCUGGGUUAUAGGAUUUAUUUGAAUUGAAAUUUGUGAAUGUUCGAUAGUGCUUACCUUUGUACCGAGUAGAUCAAUUAUGAUAUUCAAAAUUUAUUUUCAAGUGUCGAGGUUUUGGGUAUCUUUAUUUGCAUUUUAUUUUAUUUUUGUUUGGAAAUAAUUCUUUUGUAUUUUAGUUAUUUGUAAUGCCCUCUCUUUGACAAAAA